rnacentral:rRNA from 1 species
ACUCCGUACGGGAGGCAGCAGGUAGGGGAAUAUUGCACAAGUAGGGGAACCCUGAUGCAGCCAUGCCGCGUGUGUGAAGAAGGCCUUCGGGUUGUAAAGCACUUUCAGUAGGGAGGAAGGUAGUGUAGUUAACACCUGCACUAUUUGACGUUACCUACAGAAGAAGCACCGGCUAACUCCGUGCCAGCAGCCGCGGUAAUACGGAGGGUGCGAGCGUUAAUCGGAAUUACUGGGCGUAAAGCGCAUGCAGGCGGCCUGUUAAGUCAGAUGUGAAAGCCCGGGGGCUUAACCUCGGAAUUGCAUUUGAAACUGGCAGGCUAGAGUCUUGUAGAGGGGGGUAGAAUUUCAGGUGUAGCGGUGAAAUGCGUAGAGAUCUGAAGGAAUACCGGUGGCGAAGGCGGCCCCGUGGACAAGACGUGACGCUCAGAUGCGAAAGCGU